rnacentral:tRNA from 1 species
GAAUCCAGAUGGCUUAGUGGUCAGAGCAUCUGCCUAGUAAGCAGGAGACCCAGGUUCGAAUCCUGGUCGAGUACA